rnacentral:rRNA from 1 species
UACGAAGGGGGCUAGCGUUGCUCGGAAUCACUGGGCGUAAAGGGUGCGUAGGCGGAUCUUUAAGUCAGGGGUGAAAUCCUGGAGCUCAACUCCAGAACUGCCUUUGAUACUGAGGAUCUCGAGUUCGGGAGAGGUGAGUGGAACUGCGAGUGUAGAGGUGAAAUUCGUAGAUAUUCGCAAGAACACCAGUGGCGAAGGCGGCUCACUGGCCCGAUACUGACGCUGAGACACGAAAGCGUGGGGAGCAAACAGG